rnacentral:rRNA from 1 species
AGAGUUUGAUCAUGGCUCAGGAUGAACGCUAGCGGCAGGCCUAAUACAUGCAAGUCGAACGGGCUGGGGUAGCAAUACUCCAGUUAGUGGCGCACGGGUGCGUAACGCGUAUGCAACCUACCUUUUAUUGGGGGAUAGCCCGAAGAAAUUCGGAUUAAUACCGCAUAAUAUCAUUUGAGGGCAUCUGAGGAUGAUUAAAGCUACGGCGAUAAAAGAUGGGCAUGCGUGUCAUUAGCUAGUUGGUUGAGGUAACGGCUCACCAAGGCGACGAUGGCUAGGGGUUCUGAGAGGAUGAUCCCCCACACUGGUACUGAGAUACGGGACCAGACUCCUACGGGAGGCAGCAGUAGGGAAUAUUGGGCAAUGGAGGAAACUCUGACCCAGCCAUGCCGCGUGAAGGAUGAAGGCCUUCUGGGUUGUAAACUUCUUUUAUCUAGGAAGAAAAUACUCUUGCGAGAGGAACUGACGGUACUAGAUGAAUAAGCACCGGCUAACUCCGUGCCAGCAGCCGCGGUAAUACGGAGGGUGCAAGCGUUGUCCGGAUUUAUUGGGUUUAAAGGGUGCGUAGGCGGCGUAAUAAGUCCGUGGUGAAAGCCAACAGCUCAACUGUUGAACUGCCAUGGAUACUGUUAGGCUUGAGUACAGACGAGGUAGGCGGAAUGGAUCGUGUAGCGGUGAAAUGCAUAGAUACGAUCCAGAACUCCGAUUGCGAAGGCAGCUUACUAGGCUGUAACUGACGCUGAGGCACGAAAGCGUGGGGAGCGAACAGGAUUAGAUACCCUAGUAGUCC